rnacentral:rRNA from 1 species
GGAUCAGGUAGGGAUACCCGCUGAACUUAAGCAUAUCAAUAGGCGGGAGGGAA